UUCAGCCUUGCUUGGAAUCAGGAGUGGAAGAGAGAUACAGGGAUGCAGCACAGAAGGAGCCUUGCUGUUCUCCUGGCCUGCGGGCUGAAUCGAUGCCACAGGGACCAGAGGCUUCUCAAAUUGCUUCCUGGUGCAUCCCCAUGGCAAAGGAAAAUGACAGAGGACUUCUGGAGGUCCAGGAAUAUAGAUCUAUGCUGCCCACAAAUACAGGAAAUUUAUUUGAAGUCUCAUGAUUUAGCUGAAAACUGAAAAACAUUGUGAAAUAAAUUUUGUAGCUUCAUUCUCCUGAAGAAAAUCUUAGAAAACAUGAUCACGUUUGUAGGGGAGAAGAAAUAUUUUCUCACACACCCAGAGUUUAUAGCUGAGGUAUCUAUAAUAAAAGGUUAAUCAGUGAAAAGCAUACAAAUUUAUUUAAUGCAAGUUUUAUGUGACACAGGAACUUUCAGAAAUGAAAACCCAAAGACACAAGGAAACAGAUUUUUAUGCUAAGUUUGAUGAAGAAACAGACAGUUGUGAAGUAUUGGACAAAGGGGUACGAUGUGAUGGUAACAAACUGGGGGAACGCAACGAGGUCUGUUUUCUAUGACUACUCUCUAUGUCUUCAGAGACAGGGUUGCUCCUUUUUUCUGGGCAUUAGGAGGAUACCUAUGGAAUGAGGGUCUUAUCACCUGCUUUGAAGAAAGGUGAGGGGAAAAUGAGAGACUUUCCUCUUCUGCUGUUUUCUCAAAUACCAAGCUGCCAUACUUCGUUUGGGGUACUGUGUCCUGAACCCAUCAAGGUCAUAUAAAUGGCAAAGAAAGGAUUUAAAGCACAUCUGUGUGUUCAAAAACACCAUAUUCUCCCCAGGAUCUGACACUGCCUAUAGCAUUGGAAGGCAGAGUUCAGAAACCUAGUUUACACUCAUUUUACAAAGCAAUAAAUUGAGGAUCAGAGAAAUUCAUGUGACUUGCCACAUAUUACAAGCUUUGUAUCGCACAUUUCCAUCAGUAUCUGAUGAGGUGUUAGGUGUGAUUUCUUAGGCAGCGUUGGAUCCUCCAGAGGGUGGCUUGCUGUUGACCUGGGUCACCUGAAGGUCUCCAAUGGAGCGUCGUACGUGGGGUGGAGUCAGCUGUCCCUUGGACUCCUAGUUUAUUCUUUGGGCUUGAGGCAAAUCAGAGUCUCCUUGGCACAAUAGUGCUGGGGACCUGGCUGCUGCCAGGAGGAAUGUUCUGUUUGUUUUGGUCCAGAAUCAGCCUGAGGGCGAAUUCUUCCUGGAGAAGAUGAAGGUGUAGAUGGGGAGUGGCCACAACAUGUGGCAAUCCUGCCAGCUAGUGGCCGCAUAAGGAAUGGGCCUAAACCUGCCCAGGAUGCUGCAGGCUGGGGACAAAAAUACUCAGGUUGACUUGGAGUCGGAGGGCACGGGCUUCCUCACCUUGCUCUAGGUCCCUCUGGUCACCUAGGGGAGAGGCUCAGGGAGACCUGAAGAGAUGAAAUGAUGUGUUCUAGGUAUUUUC